AUUGAACGCUGGCGGCAUGCUUUACACAUGCAAGUCGAACGGUAACAGGCCUUCGGGUGCUGACGAGUGGCGAACGGGUGAGUAAUGCAUCGGAACGUGCCCAGAGGUGGGGGAUAACGCAGCGAAAGCUGUGCUAAUACCGCAUGUGAUCUGAGGAUGAAAGCGGGGGACCAGGCAGCAAUGUUUGGCCUCGCGCCUUUGGACCGGCCGAUGUCAGAUUAGGUAGUUGGUGGGGUAAAGGCCUACCAAGCCGACGAUCUGUAGCUGGUCUGAGAGGACGACCAGCCACACUGGGACUGAGACACGGCCCAGACUCCUACGGGAGGCAGCAGUGGGGAAUUGUGGACAAUGGGCGCAAGCCUGAUCCAGCAAUGCCGCGUGCGGGAAGAAGGCCUUCGGGUUGUAAACCGCUUUUGUACGGAACGAAAAGGCUCUGGCUAAUACCUGGGGCUGAUGACGGUACCGUAAGAAUAAGCACCGGCUAACUACGUG
rnacentral:rRNA from 1 species